UACGAAGGGGGCUAGCGUUGCUCGGAAUGACUGGGCGUAAAGGGCGCGUAGGCGGUUUGUACAGUCAGAUGUGAAAUUCCUGGGCUUAACCUGGGGGCUGCAUUUGAUACGUGCAGACUUGAGUGAGGAAGAGGGUUGUGGAAUUCCCAGUCGUAGAGGUGAAAUUCGUAGAAUAUUGGGAAGAACACCGAUGGCGAAGGCAGCCAUCUGGACCGACACUGACGCUGAGGCGCGAAAGCGUGGGGAGCAAACAGGGAUUAAGAAAC
rnacentral:rRNA from 1 species